GAGGGUGUCUGAAGAACUGCUAAUUCUUUACUCUGGGAAUAACAAACCAG
rnacentral:tRNA from 1 species